AGUGAACGCUGGCGGUAGGCCUAACACAUGCAGGUCGAACGGCAGCACAGUAAGAGCUUGCUCUUACGGGUGGCGAGUGGCGGACGGGUGAGGAAUACAUCGGAAUCUACUUUUUCGUGGGGGAUAACGUAGGGAAACUUACGCUAAUACCGCAUACGACCUACGGGUGAAAGCAGGGGAUCUUCGGACCUUGCGCGAUUGAAUGAGCCGAUGUCGGAUUAGCUAGUUGGCGGGGUAAAGGCCCACCAAGGCGACGAUCCGUAGCUGGUCUGAGAGGAUGAUCAGCCACACUGGAACUGAGACACGGUCCAGACUCCUACGGGAGGCAGCAGUGGGGAAUAUUGGACAAUGGGCGCAAGCCUGAUCCAGCCAUACCGCGUGGGUGAAGAAGGCCUUCGGGUUGUAAAGCCCUUUUGUUGGGAAAGAAAAGCAGCAGGUUAAUACCCCGCUGUUCUGACGGUACCCAAAGAAUAAGCGCCGGCUAACUUCGU
rnacentral:rRNA from 1 species